rnacentral:rRNA from 1 species
AUUAGCUAGUUGGUAAGGUAACGGCUUACCAAGGCGACGAUCAGUAGCCGACCUGAGAGGGUGACCGGCCACAUUGGGACUGAGACACGGCCCAAACUCCUACGGGAGGCAGCAUG